rfam:Dichanthelium oligosanthes cultivar Kellogg 1175 unplaced genomic scaffold Do_version_2_scaffold1011, whole genome shotgun sequence.
AGUGGGAGAUGCAGCCAAGGAUGACUUGCCGGCCGCCACCAGUGGCGGGCGUCGACGUCGUUGCCAUCCCGGCCGGCAAGUCUGUCCUUGGCUACACCUUGCUCUCU